UACGUAGGGGGCAGGCGUUGUCCGGAUUCAUUGGGCGUAAAGCGCGUGUAGGCGGCCAGGUAGGUCUGCUGUGAAAACUCGAGGCUCAACCUCGAGACGUCGGCGGAAACCAUCUGGCUAGAGUCCGGAAGAGGAGAGUGGAAUUCCUGGUGUAGCGGUGAAAUGCGCAGAUAUCAGGAAGAAUAUCCGUGGCGAAGGCGGCUCUCUGGGACGGUACUGACGCUGAGACGCGAAAGCGUGGGGAGCGAACAGG
rnacentral:rRNA from 1 species